GACGAACGCUGGCGGCGUGCUUAACACAUGCAAGUCGAACGGAAAGGCCCUGCUUGCAGGGUGCUCGAGUGGCGAACGGGUGAGUAACACGUGGGUGAUCUGCCCCUUACUUUGGGAUAAGCCUGGGAAACUGGGUCUAAUACUGGAUAGGACCAUGCUGUAGGUGGUGUGGUGGAAAGAUUAGUUUCGGUAAGGGAUGAGCUCGCGGCCUAUCAGCGUGUUGGUGGGGUAAUGGCCUACCAAGGCGUCGACGGGUAGCCGGCCUGAGAGGGUGGACGGCCACAUUGGGACUGAGAUACGGCCCAGACUCCUACGGGAGGCAGCAGUGGGGAAUAUUGCACAAUGGGCGCAAGCCUGAUGCAGCGACGCCGCGUGGGGGAUGACGGCCUUCGGGUUGUAAACUCCUUUCAGCCAUGACGAAGCCCUUGUGGUGACGGUAGUGGUAGAAGAAGCACCGGCUAACUACGUG
rnacentral:rRNA from 1 species